GGGGAAAAGCUCAAAUUUUAAAUCUGCUAGGUUUUACUUAUCAGAAUUGUAAUUUGAAGAAGCGUUUUCCGCGUCUCGGUCGGCCCAAAUCCUUUGGGAUGAGGUAUCAUGGAGGGUGAGAAUCCCGUUCGGUUGACCUCAUGACGUUUUACGAUACGCUUUCUAA
rnacentral:rRNA from 1 species